rnacentral:rRNA from 1 species
UGGGGGAUAUUGCACAAUGGAGGAAACUCUGAUGCAGCGAUGCCGCGUGAGGGAAGAAGGUUUUCGGAUUGUAAACCUCUGUGGAGGGGGACGAUAAUGACGGUACCCCUUUAGGAAGCCACGGCUAACUACGUGCCAGCAGCCGCGGUAAUACGUAGGUGGCGAGCGUUGUCCGGAAUUACUGGGUGUAAAGGGAGCGUAGGCGGGAAUGCAAGUCAGAAGUGAAAAUUAUGGGCUUAACCCAUAACCUGCUUUUGAAACUGUAUUUCUUGAGUGAGACAGAGGCAAGCGGAAUUCCUAGUGUAGCGGUGAAAUGCGUAGAUAUUAGGAGGAACACCAGUGGCGAAGGCGGCUUGCUGGGUCUUUACUGACGCUGAGGCUCGAAAGCGUGGGGAGCAAACAGG